AGAGAAUCGGGUCUUAUUGUGUUUGCUAUACGGGAGUCAACAAUCUGAUCCAACUCCCCUCUCUUCUGCCACUUCAAUCCCCACUCUGCCAGAUUGACCAUUUCUCGUGGAAGAGUAGGGUCAAUCACCGGUCUCGCACAAAGCACUUCAAGUAAAACCACUCCGAACGAAUACACAUCGGAUUUCUCUGUCAAUUGCUGUCUUCUGAAAUACUCAGGAUCAAGAUAACCAAAACUCCCUUUCACCGCUGUGCUUACAUGAGUCUGAUCCAAUUCAGGACCAGUUUUCGACAACCCAAAGUCUGCAACCUUCGCCAUUAGAUUCUCAUCAAGUAAAAUAUUUGCCGAUUUUACAUCACGAUGGAUAAUCG
rnacentral:misc_RNA from 1 species